rnacentral:tRNA from 1 species
UACUCAUAUAGCUUAUAAAAUAGAGCAUUGCAUUGAAGCUGCAAGGGAGAUAAUCAAUAUCUAUGAGUAU